UAUGGAAACUUUGACUUCAUACAGAAUUACUCAGCGGACAAGUUUAGGUUACGUUGACAACACUGUUCUCGGCCAUUUUGUCAGUUGUAGAAAGUUGACGCGUGUAUUUUACAGAAAGCGUGGAAAAGACUAAUAACUACCUAAAAAUAAGGUUAAAAGAUGAAUGCCGCAGAGAGAAAGAGGAAAUCUCCAGAGAAGAUGAAGAAGGACAAGGAUAAAUGGAACUUAGUCCAAGAAAAACAAAAAGAGUGGGAUAGAAAACGGAGAGAAAAAAAUAGACGUGAAUGUGACGAAAAUGAUAAAAAGGGAGAAUCUUUGAGAGAAAAAGAAAGGUUACGUAAAAGAAAGCAAAGAGAAAAUAAAAAAAUAGCACUAGGUAUUAAGAAAAGCAGUUCAGCGCUAGGGUCUUACAAAUCCUUGAAUACUUUAAAAAAAGCAGUGGUAAAAGCUAAGAAAGCUCUUCCUCAGUGUCCCACUAAACAGACAGCAGUUCUGUGGCACAAAAUUUCCAGAAAAUCUUAACAUUUUUGAAAAAUAUUAAUAGGUUUAAGGAUCUUUUGAACAAGGCAUGUUCGUUUUCUUUUAUUUUAGUUGUGAACAAAAGGUUUCAUUUAUUUUUGUUAAUAAUAACUAGAGUUUA